AAUAAAAACAGCUGAUUCAAAUUUCAAUCAAAAGGGUUUAGUUUACGGUCUUUCGAAUAACGGGUUACGCUAUUAAGUUGAAUGGUAUCUAAUAACAGAUAGUGAGGACUUAAAAAAGAGAGACAUCAAACAGCUCCCGAUCAGGCCAAAUGGCAGAGAUCUGAGGACAUGGCUGAAUUCAUAGUGGGACCACCAUCUACUCCAUCAGCUCUAGAACAAAAGUUGCAGAAAGCAGAGACAGAAAUGAAAUACUUAUUUGUAUCUACAGGCACAUUGGCUCAAGGAGAACUUCGUGAAGACAAGCAACCAAAGGUUGCCAACGAUGGUUUAGGGGUUGAUGUUGAUUUCGACAUCUUGUUCGUUUGAUGAAUGCCGCCCUUCUGCUGCUACAGUCACACGGAAAAGAAUCAAAACUGAAAGCUUGUCCUGUGUCAUAGCACUUGUUCCAUGCCGUGCAAUAACAGUAAAUCUUUCUAACAUUUCUUAGCUUCUUUUCUUUUGUCCCCUAUUUUGUAUAAGAAAAAAAGGAUGUAAUUACAUCCCAUGACGAGGUUGUUUGAAAGUAAAGUGGGGGAAGCUCUUGAUGGCUCGCCUUCGGUUUCGGAAAUAUCAUCUUGGGUGGCGAGCAAACGUUGGGGAAAGGACAACGUCGAUUUUCAGAAUCGGAGUAGGACAAGGUCAAGUUUGCAAAAAUAACGUUGCGACAGAAAUGCGACAAUAUAUCGACAGUCUUCCACUUGUUUUUGUUCUGUUGAGCUACAUUUUUCCUUCUGUUCUGUUUGCAUUCUCAGUUACUGUUUUUUUUUUCCAUUAUUAAUUAUUCGUUAUGGCUGCUCCUAAUGUGUCCGAUCUCUUUUGCAAAGCUGUCAGCGAAGGUUCGUUUGAUGAAUUAAACGCGUUAUGCCAAAAACACGGACGGGAGGCAAUCGUGGCUAAUUUUAUGGACACUUGUAUCAACAAACAUGGUGAUGCGUGUCUAAAAGUGGCUGUUGAAAGCAAAUUUUACGACGUGCUCGAGUUCCUGAUAAAA